ACAGGGUCAUAAAUGCCAGUUGGGCCUGGAUCUUCUCUCUGGCCAUCUACUACGUCUUAUCUAUCAGGUGUCACAUGGCGUUGGGGGCUGGAGGGGAGAGGAUCACGUUGGGGUAUAAAUGCUUGUAACAAACAAAGGACUGGGCUCUCGAUUUGGGCUCGACCCCCGACAGCCUCACUUUCUGCAGAAAUAAACUUUCAAGCUUUUCCUCUGGUUGCGUGCGUUGAUUGGCGUAUUGCACCACCCAGACAAGAACCGCCCUUUGGGGAGAUCCGAUUGGUGCUUUGGCCUCCCCAGUCUGGGAGCAGUGGGGCCAACAACGGAUCCACCGGAUCGGUCAGUUUCACCGAGGAACGGACUCUUGUGGGCUCCUGUGGUCUGCAGCUUGCUACUCACUGGUGACGCCUUACGGAAAAGCUUUCUCGGGAGAAGGUCUCACGGGGUUGUGACCGGUCGGGAGCAGAGCCUAGGAGCGUGGUCUGUCGUCCAGCGCAGACCAAACGGCCUGACAGAAGCAGUGCAUCCCUUCCAACCAGGGGACUGGGUCCUGAUCGAGAAGUGGACCGUUCCAGGCUCCUGGGGAACAGUUCUUUUCCAGUUCUGCUAACCACUUCUACUUCCUUAAAGGUAGCUGGACAGAAAAGUGGGAUACAUCCUACCCGGGUCCGGUUCCCAGAGAAACCGGACUCGGACUCUGAGACAGAGGAUGCCCAGGGUAACCUAGACCCUGCAACGGAGGACCCCCAAGACUGUUGGGAAGCUGAGCCCUUAGACGGGCGUAAGACUUUGUUCAGAAAACAACCAAGGGAGAGGGGUCCGUCAGGGAACCAGCCAUGAAAUGGCACAUGAUGUAUUUUGUGAUUUACUCUGUUAGGGGUGGGUGGAAAUGGAAUGAAUGGCUCAGACUAUAUCAGUCAAUUCUAGAAGCCAACAGGCUAUCUGUAUUCUAUUAUUAUUCCCAAAUUCAGACGUGCAUUGACACUGGCCCGAAUGGACGCCCUUCGAUCUGCCGUUUUAGAGGGCAGGUUCAAGGGCGUCCCUUUCCCUGCCCACCUCUGCCCUUGAGGUUCUGGCCAAGUGGAGACCAGUACACAUUCAGUUUUACACUGUGAUUUUUUUAAGGAGGCCCGCUUGAGAUUUAUCUCCCCCUUAUUGUCUAAGUUUUUAGGACACUCUGAUGAUUUGUAUUUGAAGUGUUUGCUCCUUAAAACCCAGAUGAAAAAAUUAUGAAUAUAGUGGCCAGGUUUUGUGUUCUAAUCUGCAAAACCCGACCUGAUCUUUAGCAAUGCAUUUCAUCAGUAGUUUAUACAUUUCCCUCUUCUCUUUUUAAAAUUGUAUUUACAUGAUGCAUUGUUUGUAUUUCUUGGUAUAUUGGUCUAUGACCGUUAAGAAAGUUCUGCUCUGUUCUGUUCAAUUAUAGAGGCUACUGUCCAAAA